AUGGCAGCCGUUGAUUUGCUCGUGAGUUGUACUGUUGGUGGCGUCACCUACAGGAGGGGUGAUCAUUUUGAUAAUCAAGUAUACUGUCCACAUCGAUUUGCCCAGGUCCUGAAGCCAGGAUCCAAACAGUCGGGAGAAAACAUUGAGGAAAGCAGAGCGUGUAAAGCCCAUUCGGAUGACAUAGCAACUCGUGCUUCUUUCCAAACUUCUCAACAUGAGUCAUUGACGUUAUCUCCUCGUAGCGAGACUGUACUCAAUUCGUCAGUCACGACGCAUACCGAUCCCUACAGUGAAGGGUUGGCCAUUCCACAUGAUGAUAUAGGAACUUUGCCCAUGGGCGAGUUUUCUGAUAUAGAAGCUCUUUUAGAUGGAGGGACAAACCCUGAAACCGGCCUCAGUCUGGACUCACCUACUUUCUCAAAUGCUACUCAGGAGGACCAUGUUGACUCACAUCUUCCAGAGAACGAUGAGGCUUGUACUGAGUCUAAGUUUGAUACAGGAAGGGAGGAAAGCUCUCCUCAA
rnacentral:lncRNA from 1 species